GUCCCUAGUUCGGAUUGUAGGCUGAAACUCGCCUACAUGAAGCUGGAAUUGCUAGUAAUCACAGGUCAGCAUACUGUGGUGAAUACGUUCCCGGGCCUUGUACACACCGCCCGUCAAACCAUGAGAGUUGGCAACACCCGAAGUCGGUAGUCUAACCGCAAGGAGGACGCCGCCGAAGGUGGGGUUGAUGAUUAGGGUUAAGUCGUAACAAGGUAGC
rnacentral:rRNA from 1 species